AAUAGUAUGAUGGCGUAGAGAGGCGUCCUGCAUGGGCGGAAGCAGGGUUGCAAGAUCCUGUGGACCGUGCAGGAAUGAAAAUUCUGGCAGUAGUAGAAGCUUAAGAUUGGUGAGAAUCCAAUCCGCCGCAGGGGCUAGGUUUCCUCGACAAUGUUCGUCAGUCGAGGGUUAGUCGGCCCUAAGACGUACCGUAAUUCGAGUACGCCGAAAGGGAAACAGGUUAAUAUUCCUGUACCUGUAUCAAACAAUCCUGACGCUUUCGGAUAGGCAUUGCGGAGUCAUCGCUCCGUCUAAGCCGGAUAUGAAAUUGGAGUACCGUAAUGGUGAGAAUUUUUCAAAACGGUGAUGGGGUAACAAUGCUGAUUCCAGGAGCCCGUGAAAAGGGUGAUACGGUCCGUACCGAGAACUGACACAGGUGCCCCUCGCUGAGAAGGCGAAGGCGUGUCGGGAGUAAAUGUGUUAAGGGAACUCGGCAAAUUAGCCCUGUAACUUUGGGAUAAGGGGUGCCUGCCCAGCGAUUGGGCAGGUCGCAGUGACAAGAUUGCUCCGACUGUCUAAUAACAACAUAGCAGACUGCAACUCCGAAAGGACUCGUAUAGUCUGUGAUUCCUGCCCAGUGCGAGUAUCUGAACACCGGGUUCAACCGGACGAAGGACUCGUAAACGGCGGGGGUAACAAUGACCCUCUUAAGGUAGCGUAGUACCUUGUCGCUUAAUUGGCGACUUGCAUGAAUGGAAUAACGAGAGCGAUACUGUCCCUAACACAUACCCGUUGAACCUUUUGUACUAGUGCAGAGACUAGUGACUCCUUAUGGGAAGUGAAGACCCCGUGGAGCUUUACUGCAGCCUGUCGUUGGGUUACGGUAUUACCUGCGCAGGGUAGAUGGGAGACGUCGAUCCAACCCUUGUGGGGGUUGGUUAGUCACCGAUGAGACACCGUCCUGGUUUUAUUGUAAUUCUAACUGAUUUAUCAGGACAUCGAUAGGUAGGCAGUUUGGGUGGGGCGCCACACCCUCGAAAAAAUAUCAAGGGUGCCCUAAGGUCAACUCAAGCGGGUCAGAAACCCGCUGAAGAGUGUCAAGAGCAAAAGUUGGCCUGACGCGAUUUCGCAUAGCAAGAAAUCGCGAGAGGAAACUCGGGUCUAACGAACCAAUACGCCCUGUUGAUGAGGGCUAUUGACUACAGAAAAGCUACCCCGGGGAUAACAGAGUCGUCGCCGGCAAGAGCACAUAUCGACCCGGCGGCUUGCUACCUCGAUGUCGGUUCUUUCCAUCCUGGCUGUGCAGCAGCAGCCAAGGGUGAGGUUGUUCGCCUAUUAAAGGGGAUCGUGAGCUGGGUUUAGACCGUCGUGAGACAGGUCGGUUACUAUCUAUAAGGAGUGUUGGAAGUCUGAAGGCAAGAAUGAAAUAGUACGAGAGGAACUUUCAUUCGGCGCCACUGGUCUACCGGUUGUCUGACAAGGCAACGCCGGGCAGCUACGCGCCAAGAGAUAAAAGCUGAAAGCAUCUAGCUUGAAACUCAGCCUGAACAAGAGACUUCAUUAAAGACACGGGUAAAAGACCCGGUUGAUAGGUUCGGGAUGUACGCACGAAGGCAACGACGUGUUCAGUCCGCGAAUACUAAUCGUCUCAAUAAAAGA
rnacentral:rRNA from 1 species